rnacentral:rRNA from 1 species
AGAGCGAACGCUGGCGGCAGGCCUAAUACAUGCAAGUCGAACGAAUCCUUCGGGGUUAGUGGCGGACGGGUGAGUAACACGUGGGAACGUGCCCUUUGGUUCGGAACAACUCAGGGAAACUUGAGCUAAUACCGGAUGUGCCCUUCGGGGGAAAGAUUUAUCGCCAUUGGAGCGGCCCGCGUCUGAUUAGCUAGUUGGUGAGGUAAAGGCUCACCAAGGCUUCGAUCAGUAGCUGGUCUGAGAGGAUGAUCAGCCACACUGGGACUGAGACACGGCCCAGACUCCUACGGGAGGCAGCAGUGGGGAAUUUUGCGCAAUGGGGGAAACCCUGACGCAGCAACGCCGCGUGGAGGAUGAAGUCCCUUGGGACGUAAACUCCUUUCGACCGGGACGAUAAUGACGGUACCGGAUGAAGAAGCCCCGGCUAACUUCGUGCCAGCAGCCGC